rnacentral:lncRNA from 1 species
UGCGCAGCCGCCGCAGCCUUGCCUGCAAAGCAGUUCCUGCCGGGCAGGCUGGGUAGCCGGACUCCCAGCUGCGCCGUCUUCACGGAAGCGGUGCUGAUGCGGGACCUGGGGGACUGCGGUGCUGGGGACUGGCCAGUCCUACCGGGGGCGGGGCUUGUGGAAGACUGGGCGGGAUUUUGAAGACCUAGGUCUUGUGGAUGGUGAACUCACUUGGGGCGGGGAGGGAGGUGGGGCUACCCUGGGGUCUUGGGCAAAGUCCUCGCCUGGCCGGCUUCGCUACCCUUGUGCUUGCGUUGCCCACAAGCUUGUAGUCAGAAGAACUCGCCUGGGAGGGAUCGCUCCUGGGAGAUCCGAACGCGGGAGGGCCUGGAGCGCGGCGGCAGCUGGAUAGCAUUCGGGCCCAUCCGAAUAAGCGCUACUUGAGAGGCUGAGGCAGAAGGAUCGCUUGAGACCAGGAGUUUGAGGGUGCAGUGAACUAUGAUGGCGCCACCACACUCCAGCCUGGGAGACAGAGUGAGACCCUGUCUCUAAAAGAAAAAAGAAAAUUCAAGAUACAGAGCCAGACAGGUAACAAGGACAGGUGAAGGUGGCUGAGUAGGGUCCACACUGAACUAGACAGUGCCUUUCAUCCCCAUCCUCCCCACCCCCAAUUUAACUUACACACAGUCAGUCCCAAGAAAGCUUGUUGAAUGAAUGAAUGGAUUUCUAAAUAAUUCCCUAAAGGGGAAUAUCUAAGCCUAAAAACUUUCCCCUGCUCUCAAUGCCACUUAAUUCUGUUUUAUAAUCAUUUCUUUCUUUCCUGCAGGAGCCUGGAUGGCCAUCUUUCUUCUGAUAGCAAUAAGCUGGAUGCUGGGAUAGAAGCCUGAUACCUCCUCCAACCCUAGUCCUUGGCCUCUAGUUUACUCGCCUGAGGCAAGGGUAGAGUGGAGGAAGAUUUAGGGAAAGCAAGUAGUCCGUUUUAUUGUUACGGACCAGAGAGGUUGGGGGUGCAGAUGAAACCAACAUCUGGUUGGCCGGGCACGGUGGCUCACACCUGUAAUCCCAGCACUUUGGGAGGCCGAGGCGGGCGGAUCAUGAAGUCAGGAGAUCGAGACCAUCCUAGCUAACACGGUGAAACCCCGUCUCUACUAAAAACACAAAAAAUUUGCCGGGCGUGGUGGCGGGAGCCUGUAGUCUCAGUUACUCAGGAGGCUGAGACAGGAGAAUGGCAUGAACCCGGGAGGCAGAGGUUGCAGUGAGCCGAGAUCGCGCCACUGCACUCCAGCCUGGGUGACAGAGCGAGACUCCAUCUCAAAAAAAAUAAAUAAAUAAAAAUAAAAAAAAUAAAAAAUAAAAAAUUCAUUUGCAGGAACAUUUUGUUGUCUUUAAUGCCUUAACAGCUCCUGAAAAAAAUCAUGUCAAAUGAUCAAUCCAUGUUAUUUUUUCAUGCACAUCAAAGUCACACAUUUAUUAAAUCAGCAAUAAAUUACAUUUCAUUGUGAAUUCAUAUUGACUUUAUACGUCUGUAGUAGACUUUAAACAGUCCUGCUAUCAAAGGCAUUAGCCCUUGCCGUUAUUUAAAAUGUAUCCUGGCCAGGCACUGUGGCUCACGCUUGUAAUCCCCACAUUUUGGGAUGUUGGGGUGGGCGGAUCACCUGAGGUUAGGCAUGCAA